AUGGCCUCUAAAGAAGGGAAGCUUCUCCUCGUAUGCAUUGUAGUCAUUUUAGUGAUGCAUAGUUUUGAAUCAACCUUUGCAGAGCAAGACUGGGAAACUAUAAAGGCUAGGGUAUUCUCAGUUUGUAGGCCAGCAAUUCGUAAAGGCCACAAAGGUUCGGGGAAAUCAUUUACUGAAUGUUGUGAAGCCAUGGCGAAGGAGGACAUCGAUGGUAUCUGCAAACAUCUUGAUGAGGCAGACGAGCAUGAUAUCGAUCCUAAGAAACUAGUCCAUGUGGCAAGAGAGUGCGGCCAUAAGCUUGCGAGUACUGAACAUUGUGGAACUUACAAAAUACCGCCACCACCCAUCGUCACCAGCGGAGGCCAGCAAUAA
rnacentral:rRNA from 1 species